UACGUAGGCAGCAAGCGUUGUUCGGAGUUACUGGGCGUAAAGAGUGUGUAGGCGGUUUGCCAAGUUCGGUGUGAAAUCUCCCGGCUUAACUGGGAGCGUGCGCCGAAAACUGGCAGGCUAGAGUGCGGGAGAGGAGAGCGGAAUUCCUGGUGUAGCGGUGAAAUGCGUAGAUAUCAGGAGGAACACCUGCGGUGUAGACGGCUCUCUGGACCGCAACUGACGCUGAGACACGAAAGCGUGGGUAGCAAACAGG
rnacentral:rRNA from 1 species